GGUAUCCCAGGGAUUGGGGGUCUCUGUAUCCCAGGGAUUGGGUGUCCUGGUAUCCCAGGGAUUGGGUGUCCUGGUAUCCCAGGGAUUGGGUGUCCUGGUAUCCCAGGGAUUGGGGGUCUCUGUAUCCCAGGGAUUGGGGUCUUGGUAUCCCAGGGAUUGGGUGUCCUGGUAUCCCAGGGACUGAGGUUCCCUGUAUCCCAGGGAUUGGUUUCCCCCGGGAUGGGGCACAGCUGGUUUGUCCCCCUCCCACUGUACUCUCUGUACAAUAAAGGCUUUUGGGGCCGGGCGGCUCCUGAACUGGGAA